rnacentral:tRNA from 1 species
GCCGGGAUGGCGGAAUUGGUAGACGCGCCAGACUUAGGAUCUGGUAUCGCAAGGUGUGCAGGUUCGAGUCCUGUUCCCGGCA